AACGCUAGCUACAGGCUUAACACAUGCAAGUCGAGGGGCAGCAUGGAGUCUGCUUGCAGACUCUGAUGGCGACCGGCGCACGGGUGAGUAACGCGUAUCCAACCUGCCCAUUACUCGGGCAUAGCCCAGUGAAAACUGGAUUAACUCCCGAUACUAUUCUGAUGCGGCAUCUUAUCAGGACAAAAGUUUACGGUAAUGGAUGGGGAUGCGUCUGAUUAGGUAGUAGGCGGGGUAACGGCCCACCUAGCCGACGAUCAGUAGGGGUUCUGAGAGGAAGGUCCCCCACACUGGAACUGAGACACGGUCCAGACUCCUACGGGAGGCAGCAGUGAGGAAUAUUGGUCAAUGGGCGAGAGCCUGAACCAGCCAAGUAGCGUGCAGGAUGACGGCCCUAUGGGUUGUAAACUGCUUUUAUGCGGGAAUAAGAUCAGAUACGUGUAUCUGCGUGCAUGUACCGCAUGAAUAAGGACCGGCUAAUUCCGUGCCAGCAGCCGCGGUAAUACGGAAGGUCCGGGCGUUAUCCGGAUUUAUUGGGUUUAAAGGGAGCGUAGGCGGCCUUUUAAGCGUGCUGUGAAAUGUACCGGCUCAACCGGUGAAUUGCAGCGCGGACUGGAGGGCUUGAGUUCACGGAAGGCAGGCGGAAUUCGUGGUGUAGCGGUGAAAUGCUUAGAUAUCACGAAGAACUCCGAUUG
rnacentral:rRNA from 1 species